UCUGUGUUGUUUCAGACAUGC
rnacentral:siRNA from 1 species